UGUCCUGAUGAUGUAGUUAUUUGUAUGUGGCAUAACUUCAUCACUUUCUCUGGCGAAUUUUGCAUUUGUUAGAAUAUAGAAACAUGCAGAUGCGGCAAAAGCUUCUUUUUAGAUCCAGUCCAGCUAUAUGUCCUCAUAGUGUGUGUGGCUUUGUACCUGUUUGUCUAAAGCAUCACAUUAAUCCAGUCAAACACAAGAUACUACAUACGUCAUGCCAGCUUAUAUUGCAAAGUAGAGGUAAAAGAUUUAGCUUUUUAGUUAAUUGUCUUAAUGGAACCAUUGAAAACUCAAACAAUGAGCACCAGACUUGUUAUAGAAAUGAUGAGGAAAUUUCAUAUGAUUUAUACAAUGAGUCCAUAUGUGAGUUGUGUACUGAAGGCGACGUUGAUAAGGCAAUGAGGCUGCUUUCCGAGAUGGAAGCUUUGGGUUUUCAUCCAAGUUUUGUAUCUUAUAGCAGCCUGAUCGCUGCCCUUGGAAGUGUUGGCAGGACUUCGGAAGCUGAUGCAAUCUUUCAAGAAAUGUUAUGUUCUAGUUGCAAACCAAGGAUAAAGGUGUUCAAUAUCGUACUUAGGAGCUUCUUGAGAAAAGGCCUCUUAAGGCUAGCAGAUAAGGUCUUGAUGUUACUCGAUGAUUUGGCUGUUGACAGGAACCAAGAAACUUAUGAGAUCCUGCUUGAGUAUUAUGUCAGUGCUGGGCGGCUUGAAGAUACUUGGUUAAUUGUUGCCAAAAUGAGGAGAGAAAGUUAUCCUUUAAAUUCUUUUGUGUAUAGUAAAAUAAUUGAACUGUAUAGGGACAAUGGCAUGUGGAAAAAAGCACUAGGCAUUGUGGAAGAGAUCCGCGAGAUGGGGCUACGACUAGAUAAGCGCAUCUUUAAUAGCAUCAUUGAUACUUUUGGCAAGUAUGGUGAGUUGGGAGAGGCCGUAGAAAUGUUUGACAAAAUGCGCCAAGAAGGCAUAAAACCUGAUUUUAGAACAUGGAAUUCUCUGAUCCGGUGGCAUUGCAAGUAUGGGCAUCUAGAUACUGCUAUAGAAUUGUUCAAUGAGAUGCAAGAUCAAGGACUAUACCCUGAUCCUAAGAUCUUCAUUAUCAUUAUUACCCAUUUAGUGGAGCAGGGCAGGUGGGCUGUUAUUGAUACUAUUCUUGAGAAUAUGCAAGGGAGAGGACAUCACAAGAGCGGGGCUAUUUACACUGUCUUGGUUGAUAUUUAUGGCCAGCACGGGAGAUUUGAGGAUGCAGAAUAUUGUUUAAAUUCCCUAAAAUUGGAAGGCCUUCAGCUUUCACCUAGCAUCUUUUGUGUCCUGGCCCAUGCCUAUGCUCAGCAGGGAUUAUGUGAGCAGACUGUGAAGGUUCUGCAGAUAAUGGAAGCCGAAGGGAUGGAACCAAACCUUAUAAUGCUAAAUAUGUUGAUAAAUGCUUUUGGGAAUGCUGGUAGGUAUAUGGAGGCACAAUCAAUUUACCUGCAUAUAAAGGAGAUGGGUAUUACUCCUGAUGUGAUUACUUAUAGCACUUUAAUGAAGGCUUUUAUGAGGGCUAAGAAGUUUGAUCAGGUCCCCAAGAUAUAUAGUGAAAUGGAAUCCACUGGAUGUACGCCAGACAGAAAGGCUAGGGAAAUGUUGCAAUCAGCAUUGAUGAUCCUUGAACAGAGACACUGUUAGUUUAAGUAUAAGUAGUUAGCCUUAUUAGGCUGUAUUGCGGUUUUGUUAGUUUCUUCAAUCAGUAGAUGACGCACAGCACCAGAAACUAAAAACACUUUUGAUGCUGCUCACUGUAAUCUUUGAGGACUUUGAUGCUCAAGGAGCAUUAUUUAACCUGUGAGAUCAUAUAGCUUCCUGAAAUGUGGAUAUUGCAGAGUCACUUGUCAUUUUUGAGUAAAUGGCUCAUGGCUGCCUGCCUGUGCCUGUAAAACGAAAUAUCUGGAACUACUAUUAAACUUAAUGAUACUAAGCCCCAGAUGUACUUCUCUUCGUCUGCAUUGUUGCUAUAUCAACAGGAGAGAAAAGCAGCGUCUCUGAAGGCUAAAAGAGUGCGGUAUUGCAGCUGUAGAUUCCAUUGCUACAAUAAUGAAGUCUUGUUUCGACACUGAUGCAGAAUCUGCAAAUGACAACACUAAAUUAAAGAGGAUGCAUUCUUUGUAAUCAUGAUUCAUGCAUAUACAUUCUUUCUUUAUCAGUAAGACUUGGAAAUACAACAACAAUAUACCUAGAGUGGGGUUUGUACGUAGACCUUAUCCCCAAUCUCAUAGAGAGACUAUUUAUCAACAUUCUUAUGGUAAUAAAUUGUUGUUGGAUGAUUGUUUUUUGCAAU